UGGCUCAGGAUGAACGCUGGCGGCGUGCUUAACACAUGCAAGUCGAACGAAGCUCUCUUUAAGGAUCCCUUCGGGGUGACUAAAGGAGAUGACUGAGUGGCGGACGGGUGAGUAACGCGUGGGUAACCUGCCCUAUACAGGGGGAUAGCAGUUGGAAACGACUGAUAAUACCGCAUAAGCGCACGGUAUCGCAUGGUACAGUGUGAAAAACUCCGGUGGUAUAGGAUGGACCCGCGUCUGAUUAGCUUGUUGGUGAGGUAACGGCUCACCAAGGCGACGAUCAGUAGCCGACCUGAGAGGGUGACCGGCCACAUUGGGACUGAGACACGGCCCAAACUCCUACGGGAGGCAGCAGUGGGGAAUAUUGCACAAUGGGCGAAAGCCUGAUGCAGCGACGCCGCGUGAGUGAUGAAGUAUUUCGGUAUGUAAAGCUCUAUCAGCAGGGAAGAUAAUGACGGUACCUGACUAAGAAGCACCGGCUAAAUACGUGCC
rnacentral:rRNA from 1 species